AAGUCGUAACAAGGUCUCCGUUGGUGAACCAGCGGAGGGAUCAUUACAGAGUUGCAAAACUCCCCAAACCAUUGUGAACCUUACCUUCAACCGUUGCUUCGGCGGGCGGGCCACAGCGCCCCCCGGGCCCCCCCAGCGGGGCGCCCGCCGGAGGAUACCCAAACUCUUGAUACUUUAUGGCCUCUCUGAGUCUUCUGUACUGAAUAAGUCAAAACUUUCAACAACGGAUCUCUUGGUUCUG
rnacentral:misc_RNA from 1 species